rnacentral:snoRNA from 8 species
UUCAGAGCAUUGAAUCUGGUGGCUAGAUAUGACUUUGCUCAUGUUUCUUCCACCUUUGAUGGUCUUUCCUUGUUCUUCAAUGAACAUGGAUGAAGGGAAUAUGUUCUCAGUGGA